CGCGUAGGGUGCGAGCGUUGUCCGGAAUUAUUGGGCGUAAAGAGCUCGUAGGCGGUGUGUCGCGUCGGCCGUGAAAACCUGCAGCUUAACUGUGGGCUUGCGGUCGAUACGGGCAUCACUGGAGUUCGGCAGGGGAGACUGGAAUUCCUGGUGUAGCGGUGAAAUGCGCAGAUAUCAGGAGGAACACCGGUGGCGAAGGCGGGUCCCUGGAAAACUCCUGACACUGAGGCACGAAAGCUAGGGGAGCAAACAGG
rnacentral:rRNA from 1 species